UCCAACUCACUUUCUUUUCUUGAAAUCCUUAGAUAUUUUUAUUGAUGCAUGGUUAAUGAUUUGUUCCAAAAAAAUUAUUUCUUCCAAAAAUUCUUGCAAAAACUUGUCUUCAUAAGAAGAAAAAUAUUUUUAUUGAUGCAUGGUUAAUGAUUUGUUUGACUCAUUAUUUUCUUGAUUAACUUUUUAAAUAGGUUUGUUGAGGAAGUAAGUGUUCAUCUUCUUCAUCCGAAUUCAUCACAGACUAUUGGAUAAAGAUUGAGGAUGAGAUUCUUGAAGAGUUGGUGUUUUGGGUUUGAUUUAUGAUUUUGUUAAUUGUAUGUUGAAGGAAUUUGUUAAAAAGGAUGAUUGUGUUCAAAAUUUUGGUUGAAGUUCUUGAUUUAUCUGAGUUUGUGGAUGAAUGUGUCAGAAAUGUGAUUGAAAUUUUGGUUGUUG